GGGUUGUGAGGUUAAGCGACUAAGCGUACACGGUGGAUGCCCUGGCAGUCAGAGGCGAUGAAGGGCGUGCUAAUCUGCGAUAAGCGCCGGUAAGGUGAUAUGAACCGUUAUAACCGGCGAUACCCGAAUGGGGAAACCCAGUGUGAUUCGUCACACUAUCAUUAACUGAAUCCAUAGGUUAAUGAGGCGAACCGGGGGAACUGAAACAUCUAAGUACCCCGAGGAAAAGAAAUCAACCGAGAUUCCCCCAGUAGCGGCGAGCGAACGGGGAGGAGCCCAGAGCCUGAAUCAGCAUGUGUGUUAGUGGAAGCGUCUGGAAAGGCGCGCGAUACAGGGUGACAGCCCCGUACACAAAAGCGUAUGUGCUGUGAGCUCGAUGAGUAGGGCGGGACACGUGGUAUCCUGUCUGAAUAUGGGGGGACCAUCCUCCAAGGCUAAAUACUCCUGACUGACCGAUAGUGAACCAGUACCGUGAGGGAAAGGCGAAAAGAACCCCGGCGAGGGGAGUGAAAAAGAACCUGAAACCGUGUACGUACAAGCAGUGGGAGCACCCUUUGGGGUGUGACUGCGUACCUUUUGUAUAAUGGGUCAGCGACUUAUAUUCUGUAGCAAGGUUAACCGAAUAGGGGAGCCGGAGGGAAACCGAGUCUUAAUUGGGCGUUAAGUUGCAGGGUAUAGACCCGAAACCCGGUGAUCUAGCCAUGGGCAGGUUGAAGGUUGGGUAACACUAACUGGAGGACCGAACCGACUAAUGUUGAAAAAUUAGCGGAUGACCUGUGGCUGGGGGUGAAAGGCCAAUCAAACCGGGAGAUAGCUGGUUCUCCCCGAAAGCUAUUUAGGUAGCGCCUCGUGAAUUCAUCUCCGGGGGUAGAGCACUGUUUCGGCUAGGGGGUCAUCCCGACUUACCAACCCGAUGCAAACUGCGAAUACCGGAGAAUGUUAUCACGGGAGACACACGGCGGGUGCUAACGUCCGUCGUGAAGAGGGAAACAACCCAGACCGCCAGCUAAGGUCCCAAAGUCAUGGUUAAGUGGGAAACGAUGUGGGAAGGCACAGACAGCCAGGAUGUUGGCUUAGAAGCAGCCAUCAUUUAAAGAAAGCGUAAUAGCUCACUGGUCGAGUCGGCCUGCGCGGAAGAUGUAACGGGGCUAAACCAUGCACCGAAGCUGCGGCAGCGACACUCAGGUGUUGUUGGGUAGGGGAGCGUUCUGUAAGCCUGUGAAGGUGGCCUGUGAGGGUUGCUGGAGGUAUCAGAA
rnacentral:rRNA from 1 species